rnacentral:misc_RNA from 1 species
AUGCUCUUUGUUUUAGAUGGACUGUGCUUGUCUGGAGGCUCACCCUGUAAGUGGUACAUUAAUCCUGAUGUUCCUGAAGCAGGUGCCCUCAUGGCUAGUGCGAGGAAAGCACAUAGUCCCAUUAAGUGGAACGAGGUUCUGUCUUCGAAUCAGCCUAUGCCUCAUGUUCCUGAGGAACAGAAAAUCGCUUACAUCAGAGAUCUGCACCCAUUUGAGAAUAAGGAUAGAGAAUUUUUGGUGACAGUCACUGUAAAAAAGAUUGGUGAUAGGUGGUGGUACAGUGCAUGCAAAAAAUGCACCCGCACAGCUGUGGCUCAUGGGGAUUCCUACAUGUGCGGCGAUCAAGUUUGCGCUACCAUUGGCACGCCCAACCAAAGGUACAAACUGCUUCUCACUGCAGGGGAUGAGACAGAUCUGCUCGAGAAGACGUAUAUAUGGAAUGUGAGUUUCUCUGACCACACAAUCAAUACUGGAAAUAUUUGUUUCCAGGUCAACGCAGUCGUGGCAGAGAUAGAUACUGCAAAGGACUCCAUACAAGCAUCUUCAUCGGGGCCAAAACAGUCACAAACUGUGCUUUUGCAAGGCGCACCCAGUGGCAUUGAAGACACUCCGACCAAAGCCUCUAGCUUGGUCAUGCCUUCAACCCUGCUCACGUUACAAAGUUCCGCAACCAGUGUGCAAGAUAAG